rnacentral:rRNA from 1 species
GACGGGGGGGGCAAGUGUUCUUCGGAAUCACUGGGCGUAAAGGGCGCGUAGGCGGCCAUUCAAGUUCAGAGGUGAAAGCCCAAGGCUCAACCUUGGAAUUGCCUUUGAUACUGUUUGGCUUGAGACCGGGAAGAGGUUAGUGGAACUGCGAGUGUAGAGGUGAAAUUCGUAGAUAUUCGCAAGAACACCAGUGGCGAAGGCGGCUAACUGGUCCGGUUCUGACGCUGAGGCGCGAAAGCGUGGGGAGCAAACAGGG